UCCGUAGGUGAACCUGCGGAGGGAUCAUUAUUGAGUUACUGAACUCCCAAACCCGUGUGAACUUACCACUGUUGCUUCGGCGGUCACGCCCCGGGAGCCCUGCGCGGCCCGGAGUCAGGCGUCCGCCGGAGGACCAAAACUCUUGAUUUUACAGCGUCUCUUCUGAGUGGAUUAUACAAAUGAAUCAAAACUUUCAACAACGGAUCUCUUGGUUCUGGCAUCGAUGAAGAACGCAGCGAAAUGCGAUAAGUAAUGUGAAUUGCAGAAUUCAGUGAAUCAUCGAAUCUUUGAACGCACAUUGCGCCCGCUAGUAUUCUGGCGGGCAUGCCUGUCCGAGCGUCAUUUCAACCCUCGGGAGCCCCUUUGCGGGGGCUGCCGGUGUUGGGGAUCGCCCGCCGCCAUGGUGGACGUCCCCUAAAACGAUUGGCGGUCUCGCUGUAGCCUCCUCUGCGCAGUAGCACUUGUUCUCGCAGGCGGAGCGCGGCGCGGCCAAGCCGUUAAACCCCCAACUUUUUUACUAGGUUGACCUCGGAUCAGGUAGGAAUACCCGCUGAACUUAAGCAUAUCAAUAAGCGGAGGA
rnacentral:rRNA from 1 species